AAACUAACUGCAAACGACGAACGUUUCGCACUCGCUGCUUAAUUGCCAGUGAGCUUUACAACAGCAGGCCGAUGGGCUGGGCAAGGGGUGUUUAGCGCAAGUUAAACGCUCCCGGCUGUAAAGAUAAUUUCAUCGGCUGGCUCCGGGCUGGGUACCUUAACCCGGGGCAAGAAAAUAGGGUGCUGGCGUCCUGUGUAGCGUGCGACUGCGCGACACAGGUGGCGAGACUCAAAUCAGACCGCUAAACAUGUAGAUCUGCCCGAACAAGGCUUGCGGACGGGGGUUCAAAUCCCCCCAGCUCCACCA
rnacentral:tmRNA from 1 species